UCUCUGAUAUAUUUUAUACAUUUCAACUCGCAUAAAUUGAGUAUCGUACACGACGAUAUCAUAUGCCUAGCGCAGCCGCAAACCACGUCUUAAUUCACGUCGACUAAUUAUGUCAUGUUUGUCUCCACGGUGCGUGAAUGUAACCAACCGACCCGUCCAUUAGCCGCUCGUCUGGAAUUGAAAUCACGCGGUUCGCUGUAUUUAUGACGACAUAACUAAUACUUGAUAAAUCCGCGCAUCCCGCUCUAUCAACGAUCCAACGUCGAUCGAUCGACAACGCGCCUCUCCAUCGUGAAAAUUUUAUGCAAACCCUCGCCGAGACUCUCUAGAAAGCUUAAUGCCUUCGUUCCCGAGGUUGCAGCAGAGGUCGUAAAGUGCUGCUUCUUACUAAUUUGCAGAGUCAAUAAGCGUCGAGAGGCGCGCCUCCGCGAAUAUUUGCGAUCGGUUACAAUUUGUCGAGGAUUUUAUGACGGGAGGAGGGGGACGAGUGGAGUGGAAACGAAUGGAAAAAUGAAAGGUGAAUUCGAAGAUGGCGAGAUUGGUACGCUUUACGAUGAUGGGCAGGUGCUUUAAGUCUUGAAAGCGUUUUGAUUGCAUUGUUACGAAUCACGGGACUCCUCGCGUUUUAUGCUUGGCUUUUGAGCCGUAUUGCCUUGUGACGCGAUUUUGUGAUCCAAGGCUUUUCGUGAAUAACGCGAACGGGAUCGGAUCGUUAGUACAUGGAUUUUUUAAGCGGUUCGGUCUCGAGUAUCUUUCGCGAUGGAAUUUGCUUGCUUUUGAAACGGAUAUUGUUUCAUCUUCGAGUGAAGAGUCUUUGAUGAAUCAGAUCGAGUGGUGUUGGUCAUCAAUUUUCUUCAAUAAUAUUGAUAUAUCGAUAUAUAAAUUUUCCAAUUUCCAUUGGUAGUGAAAAUUUUUAUGGGAUACACUUCUGUACUUCUUCUGCGGAUUAUAAUUAUAAAGAAGUUUAGGCUAAAUCGAAAAAUAAAAAAAAACUCGAAAAAAUUUAAAUAUUCGUUUCCAAUUCAUUCUCAUUAAUUUUUUUAACAAGUAAUUGAUCAAUUAUCAAAUCAUAUAGCUCACAAAAGAAGACACUCCUCCACAAUUUUCAAUCAAGAAACCAACCACACGAACACGAUCAAUUCACUCGGUACAGAGUAACAAAAAUCCUGUCCUCAUUAAUUAAUUCCACCUUACCUCGCUUCAGACUUAGCCACGAAUUCCACCCAACGUUUUUCUCCAACCAACCCCCUUCCCGCUCGAACUCUUCACAAUUCCCUUGUUAUUAACACCGCGUCCCGUCGCGCAUGAAAAAAA